rnacentral:rRNA from 1 species
UAGGGAAUAUUGCGCAAUGGUCGAAAGACUGACGCAGCGACGCCGCGUGUGGGAGGAAGCCUUUCGGGGUGUAAACCACUGUCAGGUGGGAAGAAACACGCGCGUCCAAACAGGACGUGCGCAUGACGGUACCAUCAGAGGAAGCGCCGGCUAACUCCGUGCCAGCAGCCGCGGUAAGACGGAGGGCGCAAGCGUUGUUCGGAAUUACUGGGCGUAAAGCGCGGGCAGGUGGUUCGUUAAGUCUUUUGUGAAAACCCGGGGCUCAACCCCGGGCAUGCAGAAGAUACUGGCGGACUAGAGACCGGUAGAGGCUAGUGGAAUUCCUGGUGUAGCGGUGGAAUGUGUAGAUAUCAGGAAGAACACCGGUGGCGAAGGCGGCUAGCUGGGCCGUGUCUGACACUCAUCCGCGAAAGCGUGGGGAGCAAACAGGAUUAGAUACCCGUGUAGUCC